rnacentral:pre_miRNA from 7 species
AGGACCACGCUGGAGAAGCAGGGCACGUGCAUGCACAUACGCCAUUCUCGAUCUCUCCUCUCCACCACUACUGCAUCUAGCUAUCUCCAUGGAUGGAUGUACGUAGCUCGGACUGGAUCGAUCGGAGAAGCAAUAAGCUAGCGAGCUCAUGCAUGCUGGCUGUGCACGCACGUGGUCUCCUUCUCCAUCACGGUUCU